ensembl:miRNA Gm26113 predicted gene, 26113
CCUAGCUGAGCCAUCUCCCCAGCUCAGAAACGAUGUUUCAGCAAAGAAUUUUUAGGAACUGGAGAGAUGGCUCUGCAAU